GUCCAUAUCAGAUUGAAAAACCGGUUCUCGUAAGAUCACUGAAGUUAAGCAACGCCGAGCCUGAUCAGUAACAAGAUGAGUGACGUGCUUGGAAAUACCACGUGCUGUAA